GAAAAUGUUUUCCUUGGAUUUCAUGUUCUUACAGGUUCACCAUCAUCUGAAUAAAACACUUUGGCUUCUCUGCCAGUGGGUCAGCUUCUUUUGGACCUCUGCAGAUCUUCAAAAAAAAAGUAAGAUCUUCAAAAAAUCCUAUAUUUUUCUAGAGAGCAGAAGAUCGCUGAACUUUUGGUUCACAGCAGGAAGAAUGCAUCUCUGCUUCUUAUAUCUGAUUGGCUUCAAAAUAAGGGAUUGAUAGACAUUGGUGGCCGGUAUUGGAGAUGGUGAGAAGAGGAACUUAAGACACCUGACCUUGAUGACAGCAAAACAUUAUACAAUUAGUUGGCAAAUCUGGAUACAGAAACCUGAUGCAAGCCAAACCAAUGCUUGAAAUUUUGGGCUUGGACAAUCUGGAACUGCGUCACCUGCAUUCUGAUUGAAGCAUAGUACACAAAAUUGUCUGCUACAAUGUCUUACCUGUCAAUGACUUCUUCAGCUUCAACAAUACACGGGCAAACAAUUGAUACAAACUCAAGGUAAACCGUUCCAAACUCAAUUGCAGAAAAUAUGACUUCAGCAACAGAGUGGUCAAUGCCUGGAAUGCUCUACCGACUCCGUUGUUACAUCCUCUAACUCUCACAGCUUCAACCUUAAACGGUCUACCAUGGACCUCCCCCUAUUCCAAACAGGGGUGAGUUCUAUCUACCUUUACUACUGGUUCACAACGGGGCUGCACACGUGCACUUGCUUUGCUCGCACGCUCUUCUGCACAUUCGCAGAAGCGUUCUGAUGAUGUCGGGGUCAAUGGGCAGAGCCUCCCGCUGGUUUUACUACCGGUUCUAUAGAACCGGUCUGAACUGGGGGCAACCCACCACUGUUUUCUUCUGUAGUUCUUGCAAGUUCCGCCAACAAGAUAAAUGGUUGGCAUUUUAAAAAGGAUAACUCCAGUCACUUCUAAGUGGACAUUUUCUUUACGUUGUUUUCAUUAUAUUGCAGAUCACAAUGGAAAACAGGAAAUACUCAUGUUAUUUUUACACAUUUUCAAUAAUUCCAUACAGUAACAUCCUUCUUGGUAUCUUUUUAAGGGCUACAUAGUUCUAUAUACUUUAUAAAAUUGUGAAUGGCUACACAACCUAAUUCUAAUGCAUAUAUUAUUCACUUAUAAUAAUUAUUAUAAGUCUAGUAGAAUUAACUCAAAUGACAAUUGGUCCUAUUUUAUCAUAUUCUUGCACAUCUGUAUCAAACUGUAUUUUGGGAAUUAUGCAAGUUUUGUCUCAUAUAUUUCUACAUGGUCUUUCUCUGAUAACACAUGUUCUUUGUUCAUAAUAAUUUUGUCUAACUUGGAUAGGUUAAUAUAUUCUAAAAUGAAAUACAAAAAUAAAACUUCAUUGAAAUGUCAAAGUAGUAACUGCAGAAGCAGCAGAAAUGCAUGUUUGUUAUUGCAGAACUUUUGUUGUUGAUCCUACCAAGCAGACAAUAAAGUAAAAACCAUUCUAUUUA